GCUCCAUUUCGUUUGACGAGUAGUUUAGUAGGGAAGCCCCAUUUGUAUAGGAUAUUGGCGUUUCUGAGGGCUGUGGUAAUCGGUGUAAAGGAGCGACGUUUGGUCAUCGUGGCUGCUGACAGAUCGAUAAAUAGUUUGAUAUCUGUGUAUUCUUCUGGUAGGGAUGGAUUGAGUCUUGACGUUUGCAUUAUUUGGUCUUUGACCGUAAAAUAGUGGAGUCUGGUUAUGACGUCCCUUGGUACAGUGAUGGGUAGGUGCCGUGGUUUGGGCAGCCUAUGGGUCCUGUCCAGGCGGAGGUCUGCCUCUGGCAUGGAUGGGACCAGAGCUUUGAACAAUUUUUGUACAUAAUGUGUAAGGUCCUGUGGGUUGAUGUUCUCUGGUAUACCACGGAUCCUUAUAUUAUUUCGCCUGUCCCUAUCUUCAUUAUCUGCUAUUUUUCCUUCCAGAUAUUUAACUUUGUUUUCCAGGGCUGUGUGUGCAUCUGCUAGCUCAUUAUGAGCAGUUAGUAUGCCCUCUGUUUUUUCUUCUAGAUGGGCUGUUC